GCUAGAGUCUACGCUACUGGUACAAGAAUUCUACAAGUUUUAUCGUUUGUUUUAAAUAUUGAGUUUCAGCUGAGGCAGAAGACUGUUUGAAUAAUGUUAACAGUCAAAUUUCAAAUGUGUGCUGUUGAAUUCACAGAAUGUUCUACCAUUCUCCUGCAUAACACAUUUUCAAGUGUGUGCAUGGUUCUUAUUUAUUUUUUUAACUUGCAGUGUCUUCUAUUCCUCUACAUUUUACACCAAAAGCCAGUACUUUGGUUCAGAAUGGUUUAAAAGAGGCGUCCAAAGAAUAAUCCCACCCACUGCUCAACUACCACCCCUGUUUGUUACAGACCCGAUGGCCUUGGCUGAUGGAGGAACUGCAUCUUGAGGACGACCAUGAAUCUACCUGCCAACAGGUGGUACUGGUUUGCACUGGUUUGCAUGAACUGAACAUGGUGGACAUGAGGCAAAUUCCCUGCUUUUUGCGCCAGACCAGGACUCUGUGAGGGGUGGUGAUGGAGCCGUGCUGAGGACCCGCUGGUGAAGGACGUCCCUCGGUGGGGGGGCAAGGACAGCCGACCCUGAGGAUCCGCUCGGAUCUACGAUCGCUACGAUGCGACUGCAGAGGUCUCUGGAAGACCAGGAGUCCUUGGCUGAGGAGAGCUGAUGGAGGAGCCGUGCAACCUGGAGAACCAUGAGUCUGCCUGCCAACAAGUGAUGGAGGACCUGCCUGGUGAAGGACCUGCCUGGUGAAGGACGUCAGGGUGGGGCGAGUGACACCCAGUGGACUCCAAGGGGAUAUCCACUGAGGAGAGAGCUGAAGAAGCCAUGCAUCUGGAAGUUGAAAUGCUGUGUCCAGUCUGGGACAGACAGACCUGAGCUGCGUCAAGCCUGUAUCUCUGACCAGCUGGAGUCCCUUAGUGAUCAACAACCGCCACUCAUCGCUGGCCUGUGGAUUCAUCUCCUUCACACUCACACAACAGGACUUUGGCCUGUGGAUUCAUCUCCUCCACACUCACACAACAGGACUUUGGCCUGUGGAUUAAUCUCCUCCACACUCACGCAACGUGACCUUCUCACCAUCUGUUGCACGUUUCGAUGCACCUAGCGUGUUCCAUCGAGGGUUCCUUCCUCCCCACAGUGGGAGGGUUCCUUGUCCUUCAAGGCGUCGGGGUUCAGUGUUAGGGACAGAGUUAGGGACAGAUGGCUGCGCUGGAUUCACGAUACACGCUUUGUGAUCAAAAUGGGUUCGAACAUCGGACAAAUCCCUUCCCAAAAUGUUUCAAUGUGCAAACGAUUUUAUAAAAUGUAUACUCGUGGUGUUUAUAUAAA